rnacentral:lncRNA from 1 species
AUGUUACCAUGGUGCUGCAACUGGCUGAACAUGCUGUUACUAUGGAAACAACAGUGUAUUUCUCCGCAUCUCAUACAUUUUGAAUACCAGGCUGCCACAAGACUCUUGUUGACAACUACAUCUACAGGAACAAGAUCUUCAAGGGCAUUAUUGGAGACACGCAUUGUUCAAAGAAUUCCUUUCCCUGCCACAAUAAAGAGACCACUUGGUCCAUUAAAGUUAUCAAUCCAUCCUGGAAAGUUCUUUCCAACUGGCACCAACAAUAGACGGCCUUACAAUCUCCACAUUUAGCUUUGCUCCUUCUUGUUGUACAACAUAUUCUGCCAAUGCUUUUGUGUAUAUGUAUGUGUCAGGUCUGUCUCCUAUCAACUUUGGCAUGAUAUCAUUUACUCGGCCAUAAUCCAUCCACUCUAAAGAAUCAAUCAGCUUCUCGGGAUCCACAGGUGGUAGAUAGACAGAGCAAUACUCCGUCUCAAAAAAAAAUUUAAGCAUUUACCUGCACUUUUUCACCCUAAAACUCUAUCAGGUCAAAUUUCAUAUACUAAGUGUUAGCAGUUUAUUCUCUGGGAAACAGUU